rnacentral:rRNA from 1 species
UACGUAGGGGGCAAGCGUUGUCCGGAUUUAUUGGGCGUAAAGAGCGUGUAGGCGGUUUGGUAGGUCCGUUGUGAAAACUCGAGGCUCAACCUCGAGACGCCGGCGGAAACCAUCAGGCUAGAGUCUGGAAGAGGAGAGUGGAAUUCCUGGUGUAGCGGUGAAAUGCGCAGAUAUCAGGAAGAACACCCGUAGCUAAGGCGGCUCUCUAGUACGGUACUGACGCUGAGACGCGAAAGCGUGGGGAGCGAACAGG